AGAGUUUGAUCCUGGCUCAGGAUGAACGCUAGCUACAGGCUUAACACAUGCAAGUCGAGGGGCAGCAUUUUAGUUUGCUUGCAAACUGAAGAUGGCGACCGGCGCACGGGUGAGUAACACGUAUCCAACCUGCCGAUAACUCCGGGAUAGCCUUUCGAAAGAAAGAUUAAUACCGGAUAGUAUACGAAUAUCGCAUGAUAUUUUUAUUAAAGAAUUUCGGUUAUCGAUGGGGAUGCGUUCCAUUAGUUUGUUGGCGGGGUAGCGGCCCACCAAGACUACGAUGGAUAGGGGUUCUGAGAGGAAGGUCCCCCACAUUGGAACUGAGACACGGUCCAAACUCCUACGGGAGGCAGCAGUGAGGAAUAUUGGUCAAUGGGCGCGAGCCUGAACCAGCCAAGUAACGUGAAGGAUGAAGGCUCUAUGGGUCGUAAACUUCUUUUAUAUGGGAAUAAAGUUUUCCACGUGUGGAAUUUUGUAUGUACCAUAUGAAUAAGGAUCGGCUAACUCCGUGCCAGCAGCCGCGGUAAUACGGAGGAUCCGAGCGUUAUCCGGAUUUAUUGGGUUUAAAGGGAGCGUAGGUGGAUUGUUAAGUCAGUUGUGAAAGUUUGCGGCUCAACCGUAAAAUUGCAGUUGAAACUGGCAGUCUUGAGUACAGUAGAGGUGGGCGGAAUUCGUGGUGUAGCGGUGAAAUGCUUAGAUAUCACGAAGAACUCCGAUUGCGAAGGCAGCUCACUGGAUUGUAACUGACGCUGAUGCUCGAAAGUGUGGGUAUCAAACAGGAUUAGAUACCCUGGUAGUCCACACAGUAAACGAUG
rnacentral:rRNA from 1 species